AUGAGGUCUGAGGAGCCAUGUGGGAGGGUACAGGUCAGAGAGGGUUUGACUGUUUUUGUGGGCGCAGUUGAUGUAUUUGAGUCCCUUAAUGCAGUUGGAAUAAUUCGACCAUUCUCAGGAAGGACUGGCUGCCCAGGGAUAUUUACAAAACAUAUUUCUAUUAUCCAUGUAGUUAUCCCACAUACCAGCAUCUCUAUACAGCCUAUACUGACAUGUGUAGGAGGGGGCAGCUGGAUAGCCCCUUUCAAGUGGAUAGCCAAGUCCCUUUGUGGGGAAGAAGGAAGCAAAGAAAACUGUAGAUAAUUACCCUCUUCGAGGCAUGGAGAGGACCAAGAUAAUCUUUGAUGUCUUCUGACUCUAUAAUCUAGUCGUCCUCAAAGUCUGCACCCAAGAAAAGUAAACACCAAUUCAUUUAAAAUAAAAUUUAUGAGCAUACCUAAAAGGACUUGGAAAUGUCUUAUAAGUGCCUCUAUUAGUGAUGAUAAUAAUAAUAGCAAUAUAUUUUACUAAAUUCUCUAAAGCACCUUAUGAAUAAUGAGUUAUCAUCCCUACGUUUCAGAUGAAAAAAUACUCAGAGAAGUUUAGCAGUUGUCCCAAGUUCACACAGCCAUUAAAUGGCAGAGCUAGGACUUCAGACUAUAUCCUACUAAUUCCUAAGACUGUUUUCUUAACCACUACUCAGUACCAUCUUAUUAUUAUUAUUAUUUUUUACUGGAAGCACAAUGUACAGAAAGGUUGUGUUGGAAUUCCUAUUUGUCAAUAGUGAAAUCCCUAGCUAAUGGAAGUAGGGAAGUAAUUUGUUAAAGGCAAUUGGCCAGCUCAUAGAAUCUCCAGGAGUGUCAGAGAGUCAAACUUGAAGACUAUGCAUCAAGAUGCAUACCCAGUCCCACUGCUGCACUUAUUUAGCGCAGGCCCCAUGGGGCGCUGCUAACAGUGAUGGUGUGUGGAGGUGUGUGUGUGCUGGGACGUAGGCCACUGCUGCUCCUAAGCCCUGGAUAUUGCAAUACUUCUCAGGCAGAAUAAGUUCCAUGUGCUAUGUUAUCCCCUUUCUCAUUUCACUGUCUUGAAAGUGUUUGCGUGUGUGUCUCAUUGGUAGAGCUUAAGUCAUAUGUCAUGACAAAUUACAAAGGAAUCUGGAAAACAAAUGUCUAGCUUGUAACUUGGGGAGGGGAGUUGUAGAUUAAGAAAUUUCCCAUCAAGGAGGGAUUUUCAGAAGGUUCUGGCGAACUGAGAAUCAGUAGCCGGUAGAGGUUCAUUUUGUGUAAGAUUCUAACAUUUAUCUAAAUUGUUCUUUAUCUGUCUGGAGUUUCCAUCAGCUCUUUACUUCCUUGUAUUCAGAAGGUGACCUUACCACCAUCUCAAUUCUAACACCAUGCCAGUAGUGACCCAGGCAGUAAAAAAUAUAUCACCGAAUUAAUUUAGUGGAAACACUAAAACAUUCAUGGUCUUAAAAUUUUUAACAGAAGCCUGUGUUUUCUCCAUUAAAAAAAUUAAUCGGGUAGGAUGUCUUUAAUCAAAAGACAAGUCAACUGGGUUGCACAAAAGAGCAAAUAAUAGCAUUGUAACUUUACAAAUUCUCUGACUUUUAGCUGCUUUUUAUAAGCCUGAAAAAAAUAUCAAAAGCAGUAAAAACUUAUAUUAUUUCUGUCAGUAGUCCUUUUCAUAAAAUGUUGUGAAAACAAUCUCUUUAAGAAGGAAGCAACAUACUGAGCGGCAAGCCUCAGUCACAGGAAGUUCAUUUUUUCUUUGGCUUACAGCCCAAUGCCAUCAGAACUAAUUAAAAACAGAGCCACGCUGGUAUGGGGCUCAGUGUUUGGGUUUUACAAUAACAGAGUCGCAAAGCAGGGGGAUGUCUAAUGAGAAUAGUUUCUGAGUUUGUUUUGUAGCGUUGGGCAACUAUGUCAAUUACUGGAACUGCAGCUCAGGGCCAGCACCCAUGCUGGGAUGUGAGAGAGUCUUAUUGCCUUACAGAUUGAGCUUCCACUUUGAUACAUGUGAUAUGCAUGUCACUUGUAUACUGGUGCUGCUCCUUGGCUGCAGACUCUAUGGGAGGAGGCUGAUGCCACCUUGCUGCUCUCGUCUGAGGCCAGAUCAAAUGUUACCAGGCCCAGAUUUCAUCUGCAUCAUUAGCUAUGCUCCAGUUAAAACAUGAAGCAUGUCUUCUGGUUGGGAAAUUAUUGGAAAUGAGGGCUCUGACUUACACAGCCCUGUGUAAUGAGCUGCUGGAGAAUUAACGUGGGAUGGGAGAGCGGGCAGAGAAAGACCAAGGUAAAGAGAGAAGAAGAGCAAAGCAGUAUGGCCAAUGUUUAGGGCUAAAAUAUCUCCUUUGCUUUGAAUUAUGUGUAAUAGUAAUAAAAGCAGG
rnacentral:lncRNA from 9 species